rnacentral:rRNA from 1 species
GACGAACGCUGGCGGCGUGCUUAACACAUGCAAGUCGAACGGAAAGGCCCCUUUGGGGGUACUCGAGUGGCGAACGGGUGAGUAACACGUGAGUAACCUGCCCUUGACUUCGGGAUAACUUCAGGAAACUGGGGCUAAUACCGGAUAGGAAUCCUUGCUGCAUGGUGGGGGUUGGAAAGCUUCGGCGGUUUUGGAUGGACUCGCGGCUUAUCAGCUUGUUGGGGGGGUAGUGGCUUACCAAGGCUUUGACGGGUAGCCGGCCUGAGAGGGCGACCGGCCACAUUGGGACUGAGAUACGGCCCAGACUCCUACGGGAGGCAGCAGUGGGGAAUAUUGCACAAUGGGCGGAAGCCUGAUGCAGCAACGCCGCGUGCGGGAUGACGGCCUUCGGGUUGUAAACCGCUUUCAGCAGGGGCGAAGCUUGUGGUGACGGUACCUGCAGAAGAAGCACCGGCUAACUACGU